CUUGGAGACAUCUCCUGAAGUGGGCAGGCCUGGGUUGAGAAAGCUGCGGGAUAAAAGAGCAAGCUUCAGGGAGAAAAAUGCCAAGAAAAGAAGUUUAUUAGGUGGAAGGACUCACCAAGGCUAUGUGGGACACCAUUCUGUGGUCUGAGACCCCAGGCCAAGUACAAAGGAGAUAGCAAGGUGGGUAUUGCCAUUCGUCUCUCCCUGCUUCUAGACUGCAGACACACAGUGACAAACUGCCUCAUGCUCUUCAAAGUCUCCACAACUUUCCUGACCCAGUGACCUGGAUCUUCAAAUUGUGAACCCAAAUAAACCAUUCC
rnacentral:lncRNA from 1 species